CCCUGGUAGUCCACGCCCUAAACGAUGUCUACUAGUUGUCGGGUCUUAAUUGACUUGGUAACGCAGCUAACGCGUGAAGUAGACCGCCUGGGGAGUACGGUCGCAAGAUUAAAACUCAAAGGAAUUGACGGGGACCCGCACAAGCGGUGGAUGAUGUGGAUUAAUUCGAUGCAACGCGAAAAACCUUACCUACCCUUGACAUGGAUGGAAUCCCGGAGAGAUUUGGGAGUGCUCGAAAGAGAACCAUCACACAGGUGCUGCAUGGCUGUCGUCAGCUCGUGUCGUGAGAUGUUGGGUUAAGUCCCGCAACGAGCGCAACCCUUGUCAUUAGUUGCUACGAAAGGGCACUCUAAUGAGACUGCCGGUGACAAACCGGAGGAAGGUGGGGAUGACGUCAAGUCCUCAUGGCCCUUAUGGGUAGGGCUUCACACGUCAUACAAUGGUACAUACAGAGCGCCGCCAACCCGCGAGGGGGAGCUAAUCGCAGAAAGUGUAUCGUAGUCCGGAUUGUAGUCUGCAACUCGACUGCAUGAAGUUGGAAUCGCUAGUAAUCGCGGAUCAGCAUGUCGCGGUGAAUACGUUCCCGGGUCUUGUACACACCGCCCGUCACACCAUGGGAGCGGGUUUUACCAGAAGUAGGUAGCUUAACC
rnacentral:rRNA from 1 species